AUCCACAACUCUAAAGGUACCAAACUUAUAUAUCAGCAGUUGCAAAUCUUCUUGACUUUUUGACUGGGAUGGUAUACUCGAAAAGCUUGCAUGUAAUUUCAUUGCAGCAAUUCUUUUGGUGCUCAUCUACUGCAAGCUAGACAAAAAGAAAUCCUGGUUCCAUGAUCCAUCUACAAAUUCUAAUACAGCUUAGGAAACCAAAAGUUUUUCUUAAAUUAUUCAUUAACAUUUAUAGGGUUUAGGGGGAUGGAGUUGCUCUUAUUGUUCACAACUUGGAGACAAGUCCUUUUCAUAGAAGAAACCAAUUUUGAGUUUUGACGUUGAAUGAAAAUGUCCCUGGCCUCGAAUAAUCUCAUUCAAAAGCUUGUCCAAGAAUGUCCAAACCUUGCAAACUUUUCUUCCAUAUAAAACCAAAUCUUGGAUGAUUUUUUUUGAUAAAAUUGUGUGGUUGAAUUUUUAGACUGAUGUGAUCUCUGUUAUACAAUUAAACUUGAUGAAAAAGAUGUUCGAUAGCGUGGGAAAGGGCAUUUCUGUUCAAAGGCCUACCAACGUGGGGAGGGAAUAUCAAACUCGUUAAAAACGUGGAGAGGGAAGAUUAAAUUUGUUCCAAGAAAUAAUUAUCUCAGAGGUUAUUUUCUUCAAAAAUAAUUUCGGAAAAUUUGAAUUGUCCAAAGAACAACUCAGUGCAUUGUCCUUUUUAACUACUUUCUUAGUAUAAUAUUCUGUUAAUUAUCUUCUUUUUCAAUGAUUACAGAAAAUUUUGAAGUAAUUAAGAUUUAUUUGGUUGGAAGAAGUUGGCCUCUGAAAUAGGAACGAGUGAUCCUUAUUCUAGCCAUUUGGUUGGGAGAUAUCCAUCCUCAUUUCAAUUUCAAUAGAAAUAUGAAUAUCCUAAUUCUUUAAAAUUCAAUCUCUAUUGUCUGCUAGUAUUUAAAUCUGAUUUCAAUCACAAAUUAAAUGUAUUAAAAAAUAUAAUCACUUUAAUUUUUAUCCCAAUUCCAACUCCAAUUCUGACUUCAAUUGCGAAUCAAAUCCAUCAUAACAUCUUGAAUUGUCGAGAGAACCUUUUUCCCUGGAAUUAGCUCCUCCAAAUACUAUGCCUUUUGGGCUCCCCAAAAUGGGAGAAGACAAACCAGGCGUUUUAACGGCUACAUUUCCUUUUUCCGGACACAUGGCCCAAGGCCUAACGUUUAUCUAAUCGAAGAGCACAUGACACUGAACAGUCCCCUAUGGACUAAGAUUUCAAUCCCAAAGCAAUGGCAUUCAGGCUAUGAGCUAGAGGAGAUGGAUGUUGGACAUUGGCAUUCAUGGCAUGCAAGAAAAAUCUCUCUCCAUCUCUCUUCCCCCAACAAGAGGCAUUAAUUGGGAAGACAGAGUCCACUAAAUGACUGACCACAAACUUAAAAGCUAGCUUUUUAUCACAUUUAUUUUUGUUUUUCUUUUUUUCCCUUCACUUAUUGCAUUUAAUGCCUGCCAUCUGCCCUCGCUCUCUCCCUCGCUCUCUCCCUCUCCUUCCUUUCUCUCUCUCUGGCUUCCUUCUGAGAUCAUAAUAAAUGUCUGUCCAUUGCUCAUUGAUAUCAUGGCACCUUUCUUUCUUCUUAUUAGAAUUAUUUGGUGCUACAUAUAUUUUUCUUUUAUCUGCAGUAAUAAUUUUCUUUUAUCCUACUGUAGCAGAGUUCUCUCGAGACACCUCAACAAAGUUUAACGAAGAUUAGAUGGAUUACGCUUAUAAAGAGUUUUGAUAGUUUUCUUGACUACUAACCUGCAGACAACAAUCAAAGAGUUUAAUCAGAACAGAUGAAGCAAAUUUGGAAAAAUUUUAUGGCCUCUGAACUGACAUCAAUUGGAUUUGAUGCCCUAUUCGUCUGCAUCUACUUCUCACUGUGGGAGGGGAGAAUGUUUAAAAUUUGCUAGGCUGUAUUUAAGUUUCAUCAAGUAACACUUAGUAAAGAAAUAUGUGAACAAAUCAGCUAGAAGGAAAGUACAGAAGCAACU
rnacentral:lncRNA from 1 species